rnacentral:tRNA from 1 species
GGUCCCGUAGCUCAGUUGGAUAGAGNNGGGGUCGCAGGUUCGAAUCCUGCCGGGAUCGCCA